rnacentral:rRNA from 1 species
CGGGACGGGUGAGUAACGCGUGGGUAACCUGCCUUGUACAGGGGGAUAACAGUUGGAAACGGCUGCUAAUACCGCAUAAGCGCACAGCAUCGCAUGAUGCAGUGUGAAAAACUCCGGUGGUAUGAGAUGGACCCGCGUCUGAUUAGGUAGUUGGUGGGGUAACGGCCUACCAAGCCGACGAUCAGUAGCCGGCCUGAGAGGGUGAACGGCCACAUUGGGACUGAGACACGGCCCAA